rnacentral:rRNA from 1 species
UACGAGAGGCCCAAACGUUAUUCGGAAUUACUGGGCUUAAAGAGUUCGUAGGCGGCGCAGCAAGUAGGGUGUGAAAGCCCUCGGCUCAACCGAGGAAUUGCGCUCUAAACUACUGUGCUUGAGGAAUCUAGAGGUGAGCGGAACUGAUGGUGGAGCGGUGAAAUGCGUUGAUAUCAUCAGGAACACCGGAGGCGAAGGCGGCUCACUGGGGAUUUUCUGACGCUGAGGAACGGAAGCCAGGGGAGCGAACGGG